GACGAACGCUGGCGGCGUGCCUAAUACAUGCAAGUCGAGCGAGCGGAGCCAACAGAUUUACUUCGGUAAUGACGUUGGGAAAGCGAGCGGCGGAUGGGUGAGUAACACGUGGGGAACCUGCCCCUAAGUCUGGGAUACCAUUUGGAAACAGGUGCUAAUACCGGAUAAUAAAGCAGAUCGCAUGAUCAGCUUUUGAAAGGCGGCGUAAGCUGUCGCUAAGGGAUGGCCCCGCGGUGCAUUAGCUAGUUGGUAAGGUAACGGCUUACCAAGGCGACGAUGCAUAGCCGAGUUGAGAGACUGAUCGGCCACAUUGGGACUGAGACACGGCCCAAACUCCUACGGGAGGCAGCAGUAGGGAAUCUUCCACAAUGGACGCAAGUCUGAUGGAGCAACGCCGCGUGAGUGAAGAAGGUUUUCGGAUCGUAAAGCUCUGUUGUUGGUGAAGAAGGAUAGAGGUAGUAACUGGCCUUUAUUUGACGGUAAUCAACCAGAAAGUCACGGCUAACUAC
rnacentral:rRNA from 1 species